rnacentral:rRNA from 1 species
GCCAGCAGCCAUAUCACCCUGCAACUCACAGAUGGCAACCCACUAAAGCUAUGCAGGUGUGAGCCCGGUCAGUACCUGGAUGGGAGACGUCCUGGGAAAAACUAAGGUUGCUGCUAGAA